CAUCCUUGUGGGAGUUUUGUGAGCCUUUUUUGAGACUUCACCCUCUCAGCCAAAUAAAGUCACUUCUGGCUACAAAAAAACAAGGUGGCGACGGCUGAAAUGCCGAACUGGAGGAUUCAAAAUGGAAGUCCACAAAUUAAUGGAUGACAUCAAGAUGCAUUACCCGCUCGCAUCAGCAGAGGGACGAGGCUGAUGUGUUCAAAUGCUGCCUUCACAGCGUCGGAAAUAUUCAUGUCCAGCUCCUGCCUUCAUGAAGACCCAAAAAAGAAGCCCAUAAAUACAACUGAGAAACAUGGAGUAUGACUCGACUGGCAGUUUCUGCUGUAUGACUACCGAUGGCGCGGAAGAAUUGAAAAUGUGUUCAAUGCCAGU